GACGAACGCUGGCGGCGUGCUUAACACAUGCAAGUCGAACGGAAAGGCCCUGCUUUUGUGGGGUGCUCUAGUGGCGAACGGGUGAGUAACACGUGAGUAACCUGCCCUUGACUUUGGGAUAACUUCAGGAAACUGGGGCUAAUAACGGAUAGGAGCUCCUGCUGCAUGGUGGGGGUUGGAAAGUUUCGGCGGUUGGGGAUGGACUCGCGGCUUAUCAGCUUCUUGGUGGGGUAGUGGAUUACCAAGGCUUUGACGGGUAGCCGGCCUGAGAGGGUGACCGGCCACAUUAGGACGGAGAUGCGGCACAGACUCCUACGGGACGCAGCAGUGGAGAAUAUUACACUAUGGGCGGAAGCCUGAUGCAGCAACGCCGCGUGCGGGAUAACGGCCUUCGGGUUGUAAACCGCUUUCGCCUGAGACGAAGCGUGAGUGACGGUAAUGGGUAAAGAAGCACCGGCUAACUACGUG
rnacentral:rRNA from 1 species